UACGUAGUGCGCAAGCGUUAUCCGGAAUUAUUGGGCGUAAAGAGCUCGUAGGCGGUUUGUCGCGUCUGCCGUGAAAGUCCGGGGCUCAACUCCGGAUCUGCGGUGGGUACGGGCAGACUAGAGUGAUGUAGGGGAGACUGGAAUUCCUGGUGUAGCGGUGAAAUGCGCAGAUAUCAGGAGGAACACCGAUGGCGAAGGCAGGUCUCUGGGCAUUAACUGACGCUGAGGAGCGAAAGCAUGGGGAGCGAACAGG
rnacentral:rRNA from 1 species